rnacentral:rRNA from 1 species
GAUGAACGCUAGCUACAGGCUUAACACAUGCAAGUCGAGGGGCAGCAGGACGAUAGCUUGCUAUUGUUGCUGGCGACCGGCGCACGGGUGAGUAACGCGUAUCCAACCUUCCCUAUAGUAGAGAAUAGCCCGGCGAAAGUCGGAUUAAUGCUCUAUGUUGUGUUUUGAUGACAUCUGACGAACACCAAAGGUUCACCGCUAUAGGAUGGGGAUGCGUCUGAUUAGGUAGUAGGCGGGGCAACGGCCCACCUAGCCGACGAUCAGUAGGGGUUCUGAGAGGAAGGUCCCCCACAUUGGAACUGAGACACGGUCCAAACUCC